UACAUGCAGUCGAGCGAACUGAUUAGAAGCUUGCUUCUAUGACGUUAGCGGCGGACGGGUGAGUAACACGUGGGCAACCUGCCUGUAAGACUGGGAUAACUCCGGGAAACCGGAGCUAAUACCGGAUAACAUUUUCUCUUGCAUAAGAGAAAAUUGAAAGAUGGUUUCGGCUAUCACUUACAGAUGGGCCCGCGGUGCAUUAGCUAGUUGGUGAGGUAACGGCUCACCAAGGCAACGAUGCAUAGCCGACCUGAGAGGGUGAUCGGCCACACUGGGACUGAGACACGGCCCAGACUCCUACGGGAGGCAGCAGUAGGGAAUCUUCCGCAAUGGACGAAAGUCUGACGGAGCAACGCCGCGUGAGUGAUGAAGGCUUUCGGGUCGUAAAACUCUGUUGUUAGGGAAGAACAAGUACAAGAGUAACUGCUUGUACCUUGACGGUACCUAACCAGAAAGCCACGGCUAACUACGUGCCAGCAGCCGCGGUAAUACGUAGGUGGCAAGCGUUAUCCGGAAUUAUUGGGCGUAAAGCGCGCGCAGGCGGUUUCUUAAGUCUGAUGUGAAAGCCCACGGCUCAACCGUGGAGGGUCAUUGGAAACUGGGGAACUUGAGUGCAGAAGAGAAAAGCGGAAUUCCACGUGUAGCGGUGAAAUGCGUAGAGAUGUGGAGGAACACCAGUGGCGAAAG
rnacentral:rRNA from 1 species